UGGCUCAGUGGUAGAGCACUUGCCUUGCAGGCAUGAGGCCUUGGGUUCGAUUCCUCA
rnacentral:tRNA from 1 species